UCAGCCCAACAAAAUUUAUUCCCUCUCAGGUCUGGCGUCUUCUUUUUUCCCACUGAAAUCAAGAAACUCACUGCAGCUGCAGAGUGUCCUCUCUGCAAUGGAGCAACAGCCGUCCAAUUCUUCAAAAAUGGAAACGUUUCGCCUUUUUGAUGGCAAUCCCCAACCUGGGUUUGGCUUAAAUUUUCUUGAAUCUCCGGAAAAACCCUUUUCCCCUCUACCUCCUUGCGUUGAAGUCCUCCCCUCUCAGGUAUCAUCAAAUGUGAAGUAUACGGUGGAAAGUGUAGAUAUUGAUGGGAUUACACUGAUUAAGGGAAGGGUGAACACUAAGGAGGUUUACGCCUUUUCUAAUUUGGAUUUAGUGCCAGGGAAAUAUGAAGGAGGGUUGAAAUUAUGGGAAGGUUCGGUGGAUUUAGUGAAAACUCUUCAAUCAGAGAUGCAAGAUGGGAAGUUGUCACUUGCUGGAAAGCGAGUUUUAGAGCUUGGAUGUGGCCAUGGGCUUCCUGGAAUUUUUGCAUGCCUUAUGGGAUCUAGCUCUGUUCACUUCCAGGAUUUUAAUGCUGAGGUCCUGCAAAGUCUCACCAUUCCUAAUGUAAAUGCUAACAUUCAACAGAAGCCAAAGUCCAUAGGUACAGAUAUGACAGAAUGUAACACUAAGACAGAAACUCGUUUCUUUGCGGGUGACUGGAGUGAAGUCCAAAAUAUUCUUCCUUAUGUACGUGGUGAUGACUGUGGAAUCAACUCUGAUCAAGAAGUGGGUAAUGGAGGUGGUUAUGAUGUUAUUCUCAUGGCAGAGACAGUUUAUGCAAUCUACGCUCUUCCUACGCUCUAUCAACUUCUUAAGAAGUGCCUAACUAGUCCUCAUGGAGUUGUGUACAUGGCAGCAAAGAAGCAUUAUUUUGGAGUUGGAGGAGGAUCAAGGAGGUUUCUCUCUAUUGUCGAGAAAGAUGUUUUCUUUGUGUAAAAGAUAAGUACCUUGAUGCAUGGAUUAUACAAAUGGAUCUAGACGGUAUCUUGUGUUUUGGCAUCGACAAUGGUUGCUGAGAUUGCAGACGGGUCCUCUAAUCUUCGAGAAGUGUGGAAAUUUCAUUUUAGGUGAAUUACUGGUUAUACGUGAAGGAAGCUAAUGAUUUUGUUGUCUAAUUGUUUACAGCAACUAGAAAGUUUGAUAUUAAAGCUAAAGUGUCUGCUCAAAUGAUUGCAAGAUGUCUUUUAUCAUCAGAACCUUAACUCUUCAUCUGUGAAGUGCUCUUUGUGGGCAUCUUUUACGUCAAAAUUCACAUUUCUAUUUGAGAGAAUUCUAAUUGAGGCUCAAAUGCAUUUCAUUUUGAUCUUGCCGGUCUA